ensembl:snRNA U6 U6 spliceosomal RNA
UUGUGUAGGUUCACCAAGGUUCUUCCCUUGGCUGCAUACAGAGAUGAUUAACAUGGCCCCUGCACAAGGAUGACAUGCAAAUUUAUGAAGCAUUCCAUAUUUAA